UACGUAGGUGGCAAGCGUUGUCCGGAAUUAUUGGGCGUAAAGCGCGCGCAGGCGGUCCUUUAAGUCUGAUGUGAAAGCCCACGGCUCAACCGUGGAGGGUCAUUGGAAACUGGGGGACUUGAGUGCAGGAGAGAAGAGUGGAAUUCCACGUGUAGCGGUGAAAUGCGUAGAGAUGUGGAGGAACGCCAGUGGCGAAGGCGACUCUUUGGCCCGUCAAUGACGCUGAGGCGCGCCACCCUGGGGAGCAAACAGG
rnacentral:rRNA from 1 species